rnacentral:rRNA from 1 species
ACGAACGCUGGCGGCAGGCUUAACACAUGCAAGUCGAGCGCAUCCUUCGGGGUGAGCGGCAGACGGGUGAGUAACGCGUGGGGAUAUGCCCAGAGGUGGGGAAUAACUGUGGGAAACUACAGCUAAUACCGCAUAAGCCCUUCGGGGGAAAGAUUUAUCGCCUUUGGAUUAACCCGCGUCAGAUUAGCUAGUUGGUAGGGUAAUGGCCUACCAAGGCGACGAUCUGUAGCUG